GACGAAGGGGGCUAGCGUUGUUCGGAAUUACUGGGCGUAAAGCGCGUGUAGGCGGUUAUCCAAGUCGGGUGUGAAAGCCUUGAGCUCAACUCAAGAAAUGCAUUCGGUACUGGGUGACUAGAGGACCGGAGAGGAUAGUGGAAUUCCCAGUGUAGUGGUGAAAUACGUAGAGAUUGGGAAGAACACCAGUGGCGAAGGCGGCUAUCUGGACGGUUUCCGACGCUAAGACGCGAAAGCGUGGGGAGCAAACAGG
rnacentral:rRNA from 1 species